rnacentral:rRNA from 1 species
GCAUGGUUCAAACAUAAAAGGUGGCUUCGGCUACCACUUACAGAUGGACCCGCGGCGCAUUAGCUAGUUGGUGAGGUAAUGGCUCACCAAGGCAACGAUGCGUAGCCGACCUGAGAGGGUGAUCGGCCACACUGGGACUGAGACACGGCCCAGACUCCUACGGGAGGCAGCAGUAGGGAAUCUUCCGCAAUGGACGAAAGUCUGACGGAGCAACGCCGCGUGAGUGAUGAAGGUUUUCGGAUCGUAAAGCUCUGUUGUUAGGGAAGAACAAGUGCCGUUCAAAUAGGGCGGCACCUUGACGGUACCUAACCAGAAAGCCACGGCUAACUACGUGCCAGCAGCCGCGGUAAUACGUAGGUGGCAAGCGUUGUCCGGAAUUAUUGGGCGUAAAGGGCUCGCAGGCGGUUUCUUAAGUCUGAUGUGAAAGCCCCCGGCUCAACCGGGGAGGGUCAUUGGAAACUGGGGAACUUGAGUGCAGAAGAGGAGAGUGGAAUUCCACGUGUAGCGGUGAAAUGCGUAGAGAUGUGGAGGAACACCAGUGGCGAAGGCGACUCUCUGGUCUGUAACUGACGCUGAGGAGCGAAAGCGUGGGGAGCGAACAGGAUUAGAUACCCUGGUAGUCCACGCCGUAAACGAUGAGUGCUAAGUGUUAGGGGGUUUCCGCCCCUUAGUGCUGCAGCUAACGCAUUAAGCACUCCGCCU